GGGGAGGCAGCGCGUUGGGGGGGGGGACGCGACACAGCUCGGGCCCGACAGUGCCCCAACGGGGUCCUAGUUAUUAGGGCCCGAGCGUAGCUGCUAAGCAGCUGCGAGAGCCCUCUUGUUCCUGAUGGAUUCUUCUUUCGUUAUUUUUCCUCCGCUUUAAACUGGAAAAUGGCCCACUUCCCACUGGCGAAAACUCUGGAAAUUUGGCAGGACGACCGGGCCUGGUGAAAAAUUUGAUAUUCUGAAGUCGCCCAAACAAAAAAAUGAAAAAUUGCUCCAUAGCGCCCCCUAUGGUGAAAACUCACCUGACGCCUGUACGCUUUGUCAAAAUGACACAAAAUUUGACACACAUGUGUAUCUCAAUAAGAUCUACAAAAAAGUCAGUGCGGGCGUAUCUGUCAAAUGUACGGUUAAAGGGCUAUUUCGCAUUUUUUGCCGAUCCGCACACAUUGGAAUUUCGCUAACUCCUCCGAAGGCUUUUGUUCCACCGGCACCAAAUCUGCUCAGGCCAAUCUACACCCCAUGGCCAUUAAAAGUUGUACAAAUCAUGACGCUGCACCCCACGGUUUAUGUUCUAGGGGGCGCCAAAGAUAACCCAAAAAUCCACAUUCUUAAAAGUCUUAUAACUUUUUAUUUUUGUCCUCACUGGCCUCCAAGUUUUCUAGGAUGAUGCUAUGUCCAGCCAUCAACACAUGUGUGAAGGAAUUUUUACUCCCCAAAAGAGCGCCCCCCCAUGGCAGGAGAAAAAAGUCAAGUUUUUCUUGUCCCCUAACAUGAAAAUACACAUUGUUGAGUGUCACGCCUAAACGCUUUGUCAUAUUGACACAAAAAUUGACACACACGUGUAUCUCAAUAAGAUCUACGAAAAAGUCAAAGAGCGCGUAUCUGUAUAAUGUACGGUUAAAGGUUUAUUUCGCAUUUUUUGCCGAUCCGCACACAUUGGAAUUUCGCUAACUCCUCCGAAGGCUUUCGUUCCACCGGCACCAAAUUUGCUCAGGCCAAUCUACACCCCAUGGCCAUUAAAAGUUGUAAAAAUCAUGACGCUGCACCCCACGGUUUAGGUUCUAGGGGGCGCCAAAGAUAACCCUAAAAUCCAAAUAUUUAAAAGUCUUAUAACUUUUUAUUUUUGUCCUCACUGGCCUCCAAGUUUUCUAGGAUGAUGCAAUGUCCAGCCAUCAACACAUUUGUGAAGGAAUUUUUACUCCCCAAAAGAGCGCCCCCC